AGGUCAUUGCUAUUGGAGUCCGAUUUAGCCAUGCUAGUUGUACGAGUUUAGACUCGUAGCAAAUAGCUCAGUAACACGUGGCCAAACUACCCUAUCGAGCACGAUACUCUCGGGAAACUGAGGUUAAUAGUGCAUACGGCUCGCUGCCUGGAGUGGCGCGAGCUCGAAAUGCUCAGGCGCGAUAGGAUGUGGCUGCGGCCGAUUAGGUAGACGGUGGGGUAACGGCCCACCGUGCCGAUAAUCGGUACGGGUUGUGAGAGCAAGAGCCCGGAGACGGUAUCUGAGACAAGAUACCGGGCCCUACGGGGCGCAGCAGGCGCGAAACCUUUACACUGCACGAGAGUGCGAUAAGGGGACUCCAAGUGCGAGGGCAUAUAGUCCUCGCUUUUUCCGACCGUAGGAUGGUCGGCGAAUAAGUGCUGGGCAAGACCGGUGCCAGCCGCCGCGGUAAUACCGGCAGCACGAGUGAUGACCGCUAUUAUUGGGCCUAAAGCGUCCGUAGCUGGCCACGCAAGUCCAUCGGGAAAUCUCCCCGCUCAACGGGGAGGCGUCCGGUGGAAACUGCAUGGCUUGGGACCGGAAGAUCCAGAGGGUACGUCUGGGGUAGGAGUGAAAUCCUGUAAUCCGAGACGGACCACCGGUGGCGAAAGCGCUCUGGAAAGACGGAUCCGACGGUGAGGGACGAAAGCUCGGGUCACGAACCGGAUUAGAUACCCGGGUAGUCCGAGCUGUAAACGAUGUCUGCUAGGUGUGGCACAGGCUACGAGCCUGUGCUGUGCCGUAGGGAAGCCGUGAAGCAGACCGCCUGGGAAGUACGUCUGCAAGGAUGAAACUUAAAGGAAUUGGCGGGGGAGCACUACAACCGGAGGAGCCUGCGGUUU
rnacentral:rRNA from 1 species